rnacentral:lncRNA from 1 species
GACAAACCUGUGCAGUGCUGGCCCACUGCCUGCCACUCUUCCGUGCGAGCGAGCCUAGAGAUGGGGCAAGUGUUAAGAAGUUACCAUUUGUGUGACAUAGGUUCCCAUAUCUGUGGUCAUGGUUAGGACGAGGCUUGGUAGCUGUGAAUAUACCCACUUAAGUGACAGUAGCUUCCCCCUUUCACUUCCCUUUCCUCAAAGACAUGGCUGUCUGCUCGGAACAUGUGUCCGCUACCUUCAGGCUGCUAGCAGGAUUGGAUACUGCUCUUUUCUGUGAGUCUUCUCAUGCCUUCACUUGCCAGUGCUUAUCCUUAGAGACCCAGGCUGUUGCUGGGAACUGAGGAGAUGCCUCCAUCGCCACUUCCAGCUAUUUCCGGGAAGCUGUCGUGGAUGCUCUUCACGUGGUGUUCUUUGACAUCCCUGUGACCUUGUAGGCAUCAUAAUAACGAUCACCUACAUUUGAACAACUCAGAACAGGGAUGUUUUCCCUUCUGACCUUAAAAGAAAAGUGACAUUAUUUUCCUCACAUUCAAUACACUUGUCUCAAAAACAGGAAGACAGACAGACAGACAGAUGCUGUUUGGAUGGUUGUGUCUGGCCAGAGCUCUGAGCCCGGCCCGCCUCCUCGGUUCCUCUUUUCUUGCAUGACUCUUGUCCUGUGUCUUGAUCCCUCUCAGGUUUCCUUCUAAAAGCCUUUAUCAUACACUUCCCUUGCAAGGGCAUUGAGACAUUGUGGCUCCCUGCCAGCUCGAGGGCCAGCUCCUUCCCCUGCACGAUGAAUGUGCUGAAGCUGACAGCAUGGCUCACCAUCUUUGCCUCAGGGCAUCUUGCCUUAGUUUUAUCCUUUGGCUUCUGGAAGAUGAGUGAUGUGGAAUUGGUUGAACAUGAUUAAUGGGCACCCAGGCCAGGCGCAUGCUCUCCCACCACUUCAUGUAGCCCAGGUGACUACAUGAUCAUUUCCUAACUCCCUCCCCCACUUAACCUGGUCAGCUGGAUGUCCUUACCAUUGGUGUCUUACUGAGGAAACGGGGGCUGGGUGGCCUCUGGUUUUUGAGGAUCAUCCCUAGGGUCAUAACUUGCUAGGAAUCGAAAUCAGGUCAGUUCUGGAAUAAUUGUUAGGAAAAGGGUCCCUAGGCAUGGAACAUCAUGUGACAAAGGGUAAUACUCCUAAUAGAAUCCCUUUACCCUCAGGCUGUUGCUCAGGGACACAAGACUUUGCAGGGUGUCUAGACCCAAUCCUGGCUCCAUGCUGUUGCCCCAUGAGAAGGACCAUUCUUAACUCAUGAAGUUCAUGUCUUCUGUGCAUUCUCUUCUUUCCUCUGCUACCCCACCCCAACCCCCAUAGCUGCAUCUCCCACUUGCUAAGCAAGGGCCUACCAAUAUCAAGCUCUGAACAGAGUAAAGAACAAUGGGCCCUAAAGGCUGUGGCUGUGAGUGGACACCUCCGGAUGUAAGUGUCCAGGGGUGCUCCACCACGGGUGUAGAGCCCCCGACUUUUAAUCAUGUUUAUUUGAUCAUGUGCCUUUGGAUGGGUGUGUAAUUGCGAGAUCCGACAGGUCAGAAGCACACAUGUCUGCCUCUAGAAGGCCUGGGAAAGAGGCAUGUCCUAGUGUUGGUGAAGUACUGAACUUCCUCUAAGGACUUGUGUAGACUGGAAUUGAGGUAGAGGUAAGAGUGGCCCUCAGGGAGUUGUGGUGGCAAGAACCUGGCGACUUCACCUGUCCAUUUUCAAGCCGAAGUUUGCCGAUGUGUGACCCUCAGAAGGCCUCCCGUGAGCUGGGGGUGAUGUCCACUUCUCUGCUUAAGGCCCUAACUUUAAAACCUACCAUCUUAGCUAGGUUCCGGGGUGCAUUCCUAGAAGCCCAGCUACACAGGAGGCUGAGGCAGGGCAAUUGCUUUAGCCUGGGGUGUGAUGUCAGUCUGGGGCAACAUAACAAGGUCCUGUCUCUUAAAUGUGUGGAGCCAGAGCCCCAGCUCCAACACAGAUGGCUUCACCUUGCAACACUGCUUCCCUUGGUGGAGAAAAGUGAGAAUGUGAAAGAUGAAAAGUGAGGUCAAAGGCUAAAGUUGCCUAUUCCAUAUGGCUCAGUCAUAUAGCACUUGUCCUUGGCUUGACCUGAGAAUGACUUCCUGUUAUGACACAGUUGUUGAAAACACAUUUCUAGAUGGCAAAACAGUAUUUUCCUAGUUCAAAAAUUGCAAUAAAAUCCGCAUAUAGAAGGA